CAUGGUUGACGUUGCAAAGGCGCUU
rnacentral:piRNA from 1 species